rnacentral:lncRNA from 1 species
UUUUUUUGCAACCAACUUUAUUAAGAUGAAAACUUCAUGUUAACUACAAAGUAAAGGCAAAUCGAGGCAAAGUUUGUAAUGGACUCAAGGUUUUCUUAAGUUCUCAAGUACAUGUAAUAGCAGGUGUGGUUAAUUUUUUUUUUUUAACAUUACUAAAACUGUAAGCAUAGAAGAAAAAAACGAAAAAAUGCAGAUUAAAAAAAAAGUUAAAAAAAAAAAAGAUCAUUUCUGAAGAAAUUUCAAGUCAUAAACUGCCAAGCAUUUUAUGAACAAUUUCACUUGUUUACACACUUGCAAUUUCACCAAAUCAUAAACUGAGGCACAAAUACAAUCCAGAACAACAAAGCUGAGUGAAUCUUGGAAUCAUGUCUGUCAUUCAUCUCUCAAAAUUAUUAGUCAAACAUGCUAGAUAACACGUACAAGAGCCAGUAAAGCUCCAGUACAUUUGUCACAACAUUUUUCUUAUCAUUAAGCAACAUGAAUGUGUUGAGCUUGGGGAAAAAAUAAUCCACUGCACAGAAACAGUAUUUAGAGCUUAAUCCCUCAGAACUAUUUUCAUAAGCUUACUUCACUGCAGUAUAAAUUGAAAGAUACAGUCAGCAUUUAUAACAAGGUAUUUGGGAGCUAUGGUAUAACAGUUUUAUGGGUAAAGUAACAGAGCAUUUUGACAGAGGGAGGAUGAAGUUUUAAUAAGCAGAUGGCACAGAACGGCAGUGAGCAGCUAAAAAUCAUCAGCUAUGCAGCAUGCCUAAUUGUUGCGUCUAUGUUAGUAACUGUGUGUGUCCAUUUCACUGUCCAUUUCAAAUGUGCUUUCAUGCAAUAAUUUUUAAAACUUUUGUCUUCAUUUAAUUCUAGAAUAAAAAUACUGAAGAUUCAUAUCUCUUAUAACAUGCAGACAUAAAAAGAGACCUUGAGCUCACACUUUUAAAACAUUCAAGUCAUUCAUCUCACAUGGUUACUGCAAUGUCUUUUUAGUUGGGAGUAGCCUUUAACAAUUAAUAAAUUGUCUUAAUUUUCUACGUCAAUUAAGUAUUGCCUAAAUUCAGAAAGCAGAGAGCCAAAACCUUUCAAAAAGCUAAUCUGAAGUUCUUACUUAAAACUCUUACUGUAAAUUCAGGC